GUCGAGGAUCAUUCGCAAUGCGCGAAAGCGUGACGAUGCGACGCUGCGUGGGGGAUGACGGCCUUCGGGUUGUAAACCCCUGUCAUUCGGGAACAAUAACUCCGGCGAGAAUAUCGCCGGGGCUUGAUAGUACCGGAAGAGGAAGCCACGGCUAACUCUGUGCCAGCAGCCGCGGUAAUACAGAGGUGGCGAGCGUUGUUCGGAUUUACUGGGCGUAAAGGGUGCGUAGGUGGCUCUGUGUGUCGGGUGUGAAAUCUCACUGCUUAACGGUGAAACGUCAUUCGAAACUGCGGAGCUAGAGUGCAGGAGAGGAAAGCGGAAUUCUUGGUGUAGCGGUGGAAUGCGUUGAUAUCAAGAGGAACACCGGUGGCGAAGGCGGCUUUCUGGAAUGCAACUGACACUGAGGCACGAAAGCUGGGGGAGCAAACAGGAUUAGAAACCCGAGUAGUCC
rnacentral:rRNA from 1 species